rnacentral:tRNA from 1 species
GGCACUGUAGCUCAGUUGGUAGAGCACAUGCUUAACAUCUCUUGGGUGGUGUUCGCAUGUUGUCGUCGGUUCGAGCCCGGCCAGAGUCA